rnacentral:hammerhead_ribozyme from 1 species
GUACUGCUGAAGAGUCCAAAACCAGGACGAAACAGCUGUCCAGCAC